UACAGAGGGUGCAAGCGUUAAUCGGAUUUACUGGGCGUAAAGCGUGCGUAGGCGGUUUGUUAAGUCGGAUGUGAAAGCCCUGGGCUCAACCUGGGAACUGCAUUCGAUACUGACAGGCUAGAGAACGGUAGAGGGAGGCGGAAUUCCGGGUGUAGCAGUGAAAUGCGUAGAUAUCCGGAGGAACACCGAUGGCGAAGGCAACCUCCUGGGCCUGUUCUGACGCUGAGGCACGAAAGCGUGGGUAGCAAACAGG
rnacentral:rRNA from 1 species